AAAUCAGCUCUCACACAGUAAAUGUGUCCAAGUGUCUGCUGGUCGACUGACAGCCGUGUGGUCCCUGUCCUCUAAGCUGAUUGCUGUCUCCUAGGUGACGUUCGUCCCUCCCUGACGGUGCUGCCCCCCUCCAGUGAGGAGCUGGAGCAGGGGAAGGCCACGCUCAUGUGUCUGGCCAACAAGGGCUUCCCCUCAGACUGGAGUCUGUCCUGGAAGGUGGACGGCAGCAGCAGCAGCAGCAGCAGCAGCAGCAGCUGGGAGGAGAGCAGGAGCCCCGGGGUGCUGGAGAAGGACGGCCGCUACAGCUGGAGCAGCACCCUGAGGCUCUCUGCAGACCAGUGGAGGAAGGUGGGCUCUGUGACCUGUGAGGCCACCCAGGGCUCCCAGACUCCACUCUCUCAGACACUGAGGAGAGACCAGUGUUCCUAGUCCUGACCUGACUCACUGGGACUCUGCUACUGGUUUUACUCUGCUACUGUACUGCUCUCAAUCUGCACUCUGUCUCUCUUUCUAUCAUCUCACUUAACAACAGUUUUCAAUUAGAAAUAGUCAUGUUUUUAUUGUUGUCAUAAUGCUUAUAUGCUGUAUAAUAAAAACAUAAGUCAAG